AUAUGUUCUCCCACUCUAUGGCUUGCCUGAUUCCUGUCUUAAAGAUGAUGUCUUUUGAUGAACCAGAAAUUCUUAUUUUUCAAGAAGAGCAUAUUAUAUUUCC